rnacentral:rRNA from 1 species
GAUGAACGCUGGCGGCGUGCCUAAUACAUGCAAGUAGAACGCUGAAGGAAGGAGCUUGCUCUUUCCGGAUGAGUUGCGAACGGGUGAGUAACGCGUAGGUAACCUGCCUGGUAGCGGGGGAUAACUAUUGGAAACGAUAGCUAAUACCGCAUAACAGUAGAUGUUGCAUGAUAUCUACUUAAAAGGUGCAAUUGCACCACUACCAGAUGGACCUGCGUUGUAUUAGCUAGUUGGUGAGGUAACGGCUCACCAAGGCGACGAUACAUAGCCGACCUGAGAGGGUGAUCGGCCACACUGGGACUGGGACACGGCCCAGACUCCUACGGGGGGCAGCAGUAGGGAAUCUUCGGCAAUGGACGGAAGUCUGACCGAGUAACGCCGCGUGAGUGAAGAAGGUUUUCGAAUCGUAAAGCUCUGUUGUAAGAGAAGAACGAGUGUGAGAGUGGAAAGUUCACACUGUGACGGUAUCUUACCAGAAAGGGACGGCUAACUACGUG